CCCGGCUGCGCCCCGCUAACUCGACACCCACACACUACCUUUUUUCAGAUGCGGCCGCGACAGCCACUGGACCUAGGAGAGCGCUCGGACGCCAUGUUGGCUUCCGGCAAAGCUCUCCGCAAAGGUUCUACGCACGCGCAAUGACGCGCCGAACACCGACGUCUCACGAAACGCAUGCGCGCCUGAAACUCCACAAACUACCCGCUCCUUACUUCUCCGGCACCAUAGGGCGUAUUGUGUCAUCAUCAAGAGUUUGGGAUCUAAGACAGUGAUGAAAGAGACCUUAAAAGUCAUGAAAUCCAGACAUUUUCAAGUGAGGAAACAGGUCCAAAGAGGUCACGGCACUUAUUCAAUGUCCCACAAUCUCCAUAGCAGAAUGCAAGGAAAUUUGGUAUAGGAAGAACCUCUAACAGGGAAUCAGAAGACACGAACUCUGUGACUGGGGCUCUAACCUUCCUUUAGUCCACAAUUUUCUUAACACUAAAGUGAAGAACCAGGUUUUUUGAGGUUUCUUCUGGUUCUAAGUUUCUAAAUGAUUUAGGGAGAGGAAUAAUUGCUUACCUUGAACUCUGUCUGGGAUAUAGUUGACAAUAAUGAGAGUGGUAGAGUUUUGUUUUCCAUGUGGGUAAAUAGAAUUGUGAUAUAGAAAGAAGAGGGUUUGAUUCAAAGGGUCUUUGAUCAACUCAAGCGCUGCCCUUUAUCAAAUGUAUGACCUUAAAACAGGUCAUUUUAACUCUCCAUAUUUCAGUUUCCUUAUAUGUAAAAUGAAGGUGUGAGUCUCUAUGACCUAUAAUGUCCCUUUUAGCUCUAAAUAUAUAAUAUCUGAUCACAUAAACCCAUUUCAUUUAAACCACUCAACAACAAUCACGUCAACAUUUGCUUUAUGAGUGACAUAGAAAUGAAACUUUCUACAAACUAAAUAUUCUUUUUUCUUAGUCACUAUUUUAAUUUUUAAGAUUAUGGGCAAGAGUCAUUUGUUAGUUAGGUUCAUAAUUUUUUCUUUCUUCAAAAUACAUUAGUUUUAACUAAUCAACACUCUGACUUGGUAUAAUUAUUUCUUAUAUCUAAACAAUAUUCUGUCGGGCACAUAUUUUUUCAGCUAUUCCACAACUGGUGACUUCUUGAACUGAUUUUCAAAUCAUUGCCAUUACAAGAGUUACUAUAAAAAAAACUAGUUGAAAUAAUUAAUAACUUUAUCAAAGUUGCAGGACACGAAAUAAACCCACAUAAAUCAUCA
rnacentral:lncRNA from 1 species